rnacentral:rRNA from 1 species
UACGGGGGGGGCAAGCGUUGUUCGGAAUUACUGGGCGUAAAGGGUUUGUAGGUGGCUUGUUAAGUCAGACGUGAAAUCCCUCAGCUUAACUGGGGAACUGCGUCUGAUACUGGCGAGCUUGAGUGCAGGAGAGGAACGCGGAAUUCCAGGUGUAGCGGUGAAAUGCGUAGAUAUCUGGAGGAACACCGGUGGCGAAGGCGGCAUCCUGGACCACGACUGACGCUGAGUGAGCGAAAGCCAGGGGAGCAAACGGG